rnacentral:rRNA from 1 species
GUGGGGAAUCUUGCGCAAUGGGCGAAAGCCUGACGCAGCCAUGCCGCGUGAAUGAUGAAGGUCUUAGGAUUGUAAAAUUCUUUCACCAGGGACGAUAAUGACGGUACCCGGAGAAGAAGCUCCGGCUAACUUCGUGCCAGCAGCCGCGGUAAUACGAAGGGGGCUAGCGUUGCUCGGAAUUACUGGGCGUAAAGGGCGCGUAGGCGGACAGCUUAGUCAGAGGUGAAAGCCCAGGGCUCAACCUUGGAAUUGCCUUUGAUACUGGCUGUCUUGAGUUUGGGAGAGGUGAGUGGAACUCCGAGUGUAGAGGUGAAAUUCGUAGAUAUUCGGAAGAACACCAGUGGCGAAGGCGACUCACUGGCCCAAUACUGACGCUGAGGCGCGAAAGCGUGGGGAGCAAACAGGAUUAGAUACCCGAGUAGUCC